AGAGUUCAGACCCUGGUGACC
rnacentral:miRNA from 1 species